AUGCCCACAUGGUCAACACAGCUAUGGGGCCCAGUUGCCAGUGUCGCGCCUGCCUGGCUAGGCAAUUCCGCGAGCAUCUCCAGGCCACUCCCAGGCAGACCGGCGAGGUCACGAUCCAACCAGCCGCAAAUCUCCCCAGACACUCGACCACCGCGCCCCGCCCGCCGGCCGCCGCCGCCGCCGCCUCGAUCCCACGCCCCACCGGCUCGGGACGCCCCCGCCACUCACGCGUCGCCGCAAUCGCCGUCCCCGCUCUUCCUCGUCGGGACACCGCGUUCCCCGUCCGCAGUCUCUGACCGCCUCUGCCGCGCGGAUCGCUGGUCCACGGGCGGGAUGGACAAGCUGGUGCAGUUCGGGAAGAAGGCAUGGUUCGUGGUGCGGGUCAUGUCCGGCUACGAGGAGAGGAGGAUCCGGUCCUACAGGCUGCAGCUGCAGCAGCGCCUCCAGCAGGCUCAGGCUAAGAAGAAGGAGAUUGAGAAACAACCAGAGCAAGUUAUUCUGUCAGAGGUUCGUCAAGUGGUUCAGCAGAUGCAAGCUCUCAAUCAGCACCUCGAAGAAGCUGAAACUGCCAUAGAUGAGUAUUUCAAACCGAUCGACAAGAAUGCUCAGAUCUUAAUAGACAUGCAAAUGGAGAAAGAAGAGAAGCAAAUGAAGGAGAUGCUCCAAGUAAUGCGAGGCCAAAUACAAAUGCAAAGAGAAAUCGAGACGAUGAAAGCCGAGGCCAGUGCCGUGGAGCCUGUCGACACCCAAGCGAGUGCAACAACGGCUGAGAUUCCUCCGAAACAAGAAAACACUAAAUAG
rnacentral:rRNA from 1 species